rnacentral:lncRNA from 1 species
GAAGGCCUUUCGCACAGUCCCAAGGCCAGGAAGACGGAGGACGAGAACCCAGGAGCCCCCACGUCACCCCUGGGCUGUGCCUCUGCCCUCCAAGGCAUCAGUGACUUGAACAGCCUUCAGGCCUAGGUAGGGACAAGAAAGGACCUGCCCGUGUCACUCUGGAAGCCAGCCCACCGCAGGCCAGUUCUUACAGCCAGUCCAAGGUGCUUGGCAACGUGGACCUUCUCAAGAAGAAAUUCUGCUUGAAUGGACCAUCUCCAAGCGGGGCGGGUCCCCGGGAACCAACAAGGAACAGGCUUGCUGUGGACCAGCACUGCUCGAUGGUAAGUAAGACUCAGGCCCACGGAGAGCAGGAAUGUUCCUGGACGCGUCCCAAAGCCAGUUCGGUGCCAGGAACUGGGAACCGUGUGUCCGGAGCUAGCGGGAACUGCACCUCUGAGCAAGAUGCUCCAGGCCGGAGGAGGUCUCGGGUCACGGGUGAUGGAGCUGAAUCCGCCCCGUCCUGUCCCCUCAUCUCGGCCACGCCCCCAGACAGCCUGCGACAGCGUUUACUUCGCAGACGCGGGCCAGACACAAAUCUCCGGGUCUCACUUGCUCUCAAGGAUCCCAGGGAGCUCCCAGGAGAGCCUGGGCUUCCCUGAUCUUUGUGCUGCCACCCGUUUAGGUUCUCUCCGUGUUUGCCUAAUGAGUCCUCUCAUGCCUGUUGCUUUGUUUCCAGGGUUCAAGGCGUCCUUGUCUGCUAAACAGGAAGGCAUGUGUGAUUCUGGCCUCCAGGUGGCUGAGUCCCAGCUAAGAGCCGAGGCAGCCCUGGGCUGUACAGAACCGACAGCAGGGGGUCCUCUGCUUCCUGAAAUGCACAUCUGCCCCAUAGCCAGCCUCCCGCCUUAGGAAAAGCAGCCGGGCUUGUCCCCCAAGCCCACGCAGGCUGUGUCUGUUACUUGCAUCUGGGAUGCCGUGGGGAGUGUGGUACCCAAAGGGUAAGGAGUGUCACCUCGCCUUGGCCAUCUGUGACUCUGGAACUUAAGGACUUCUGUGUCAGAAGAAAGGCACCCCUCUUUGGAACAUUUGCGCCUGCAGAACCAGACCCGGGCCCCAGGAUCACGGAAUCCACUGGGGUCAGUGUGAAGUGACCACAGACCUUGCGACCACCAUGGGCCAGCUCCAAUAUGACAAGGCCAUCUGCUGAUGGGCCACAGGCGUUGCCUGCAGAAGGACGCCCAAGGCAACUUGGGUGGAGACACGGCCAGCUGUGUGACAUUAUAGGGUUUCCAGACCUGGGACCAGGAAGCAGCCACAAGGCUUCCUUCCCUCCAACCAAAGUUCUCAGGGUGCAAAAGGCAGCCUUGCCAACCGGCCUGGCCAAUCCCAUGCUGAGCCCAGCCCUGUGCCUGAUCCGUCAUCAAGGGCAACCCAGCUGGUGUUUCAGGAAGAACCCAGCCUUCAAAGUUGACUUCAAAUUGCUAUGAAUCACCCUAUCUGAUGCAAAUGUGGGCUUGGGUAGACUCGGAGAUAGCUGAUUGCCUCAGAUUAAUCCACAGUUGCCUCGGCAGGUAAUUUACUUCUGGGAGUUGCAGGGACUAAGAAGAACAAGGCAUUUGCAUAAAUAGACUAAACUCAGAGUCCAGGCAGCCAGCCGGUUCUCUGGCUGGCAGCUCCUGGUGACAGAGGACUCCCAUGAUUCUGGACCCCACCCACCUAUCCAUAUCUCAUACGUGAAAAUCAUCCUUGAAGUCUGGCCAUGGUCCCCAGCCACUGCCCCUGAUAAGUGGGUGCUCCACCGCAAUGCCCCUCAGCAGGUGGUCUGUCUCUCCACAUUUCCGUGACUUUUGCUGCAACCAAAUUCUUUCUUGCCCUGGGUAGCGAUCCACCAUCAUGGCUCCAGUCACCCUCCAGGUCAACUGGCUUUGUCCUGGGAUGUUCCUUCAUGCGUUUGAAGUGUUCCCUGGCUUCUCUGUGCAGACCAAAGCCCUGGACUUCCUAAUACAGCAGGGUUCUGGAACGCUCCACCAUCUGGUCAGCCUCCUCCAGGCUUCCUUUCCUUGCAGCCUUCCUCUGAGAAUGUGGCAGCCAUACCAGGGGUGGGCUCACCAGUAUCACCUCCCUUGUUUCAGCCACUGUACUCCUAUUAAUAUGACCUGGCCUUUUGGACAGCUCAACCGCAUGGUGUCUCGUAAUAAGAUUUAGAGUUAACUAAACACGCCCUUUGUAAAAUGGGCACUGUUUGGCCUCCUUUCUCCCAGCUGGUAGCUGUUCUGUUGAGGUUUGGAGCUAAAUACUACACUUAAUAUUUAUUUCUGUGUGUGUGUGUGUGUGUGUGUGUGUGUAUUUGUCUUUUUACGCCCACACCCUUGGCAUAUGGAGGCUCCCAGGCUAGGGGCGAGUCAGAGCUGUAGCUGCCAGCCUACACCACAGCCAUAGCAACGCCAGAUCCUUAACCCACUGAGCGAGGCCAGGGAGCGAACCCUCAACGUCAUGGUUCCUCGUCAGAUUCGUUUCCACUGCACCACAACGGGAACUCCCUAUUCCUGUUAUAUAUUGUUGUUUUAAUUUGACCUGUCCUUCCGUCCCUGUCACUCACAGUAAUUUUCUGCCAUUUGGAAACCUGUUACAAACGCCUUUGGUGGCUUGACCCAGGUUAUUAUUUAAAAAGCAUUUUCUGUUAUGGAUGCGGUUAAUCAUUACAGCCAGCAGCUUGCUUUUCUCUACCUUUUUUCAAAAGGCAAUAUGCUAAUGGCUUUGCUAAAAUAUCUUAAAAUGUUAGCGCCGGAAGAGAUGCUAAGGACAUGUGCUUCAACUCCUUCAUUUGACGGAGGAGGGAACUGAGGCAGAGGGGUGCCAGGGACCAUGGAGACCCCCGAUCUGUGGCAGAGCCGGGCGCUGUGACUCAAAUAUUCCAACCCAGGUAUCCUUUGGCUAUUUGUGC